UACAGAGGGGGCAAGCGUUAUUCGGAAUUAUUGGGCGUAAAGGGCGCGUAGGUGGUUCUGUGUGUCUACCGUGAAAGCGUACGGCUCAACCGUAUUUUGUCGGUAGAAACUGCAGGACUUGAGGCUGGGAGGGGCUGGUGGAAUUCCCUGUGUAGCGGUGAAAUGCGUAGAGAUGGGGGAGAACACUCGUGGCGAAGGCGGCCAGCUAGACCAGUUCUGACACUGAGGCGCGACAGCGUGGGGAGCAAACAGG
rnacentral:rRNA from 1 species